AUUGAACGCUGGCGGCAGGCCUAACACAUGCAAGUCGAGCGGAUGAAGGGAGCUUGCUCCUGGAUUCAGCGGCGGACGGGUGAGUAAUGCCUAGGAAUCUGCCUGGUAGUGGGGGAUAACGUCCGGAAACGGGCGCUAAUACCGCAUACGUCCUGCGGGAGAAAGUGGGGGAUCUUCGGACCUCACGCUAUCAGAUGAGCCUAGGUCGGAUUAGCUAGUUGGUGGGGUAAAGGCCUACCAAGGCGACGAUCCGUAACUGGUCUGAGAGGAUGAUCAGUCACACUGGAACUGAGACACGGUCCAGACUCCUACGGGAGGAAGCAGUGGGGAAUAUUGGACAAUGGGCGAAAGCCUGAUCCAGUCAUGCCGAGUGUGUGAAGAAGGUCUUCGGAUUGUAAAGCACUUUAAGUUGGGAGGAAGGGCAGUAAGUUAAUACCUUGCUGUUUUGACGUUACCAACAGAAUAAGCACCGGCUAACUUCGUG
rnacentral:rRNA from 1 species